AUUGAACGCUGGCGGCAUGCUUUACACAUGCAAGUCGAACGGUAACAGGCCGCAAGGUGCUGACGAGUGGCGAACGGGUGAGUAAUAUAUCGGAACGUACCUUUCAGUGGGGGAGUAACGUAGCGAAAGUUACGCUAAUACCGCAUAUUCUGUGAGCAGGAAAGCAGGGGAGUCGCAAGACCUUGCGCUGAUUGAGCGACCGAUAUCAGAUUAGCUAGUUGGUGAGGUAAAGGCUCACCAAGGCGACGAUCUGUAGCGGGUCUGAGAGGAUGAUCCGCCACACUGGAACUGAGACACGGUCCAGACUCCUACGGGAGGCAGCAGUGGGGAAUUUUGGACAAUGGGCGCAAGCCUGAUCCAGCCAUGCCGCGUGAGUGAAGAAGGCCUCGGUUGGU
rnacentral:rRNA from 1 species